rnacentral:rRNA from 1 species
AACGAACGCUGGCGGCAUGCCUAACACAUGCAAGUCGAACGAGACCUUCGGGUCUAGUGGCGCACGGGUGCGUAACGCGUGGGAACCUGCCCUUAGGUUCGGAAUAACUCCCCGAAAGGGGUGCUAAUACCGGAUAAUGUCUUCGGACCAAAGAUUUAUCGCCUUUGGAUGGGCCCGCGUUGGAUUAGCUAGUUGGUAGGGUAAAAGCCUACCAAGGCGACGAUCCAUAGCUGGUCUGAGAGGAUGAUCAGCCACACUGGGACUGAGACACGGCCCAGACUCCUACGGGAGGCAGCAGUGGGGAAUAUUGGACAAUGGGCGAAAGCCUGAUCCAGCAAUGCCGCGUGAGUGAUGAAGGCCUUAGGGUUGUAAAGCUCUUUUACCCGGGAUGAUAUGACAGUACCGGGAGAAUAAGCUCCGGCUAACUCCGU